GUGUGAGAUACUAAAUAUAUGGAGUGGAAACAACUUAUGUGCAUGACUCGUCGAUCCCCCGCCAAGGAAACUGCUAGUAAGCUUUUCGUAGGUGGAUACGAUGAAGAGGAUGGUGCUGAUGCCUACACAGAUGGUCCUGCUAUACCUUGGUAACUCCACUUACUUCCGAGCCCUUUAGAGAUGAUAUAGCUAUUUUUAGCCGGUUGUUUUCCAGCACUGGUUUGACCACGGAUCGAUGUGUGAACAAAUGAAUUAGAACACCGCGCUUCAAAAGGGUAAAACUUAAGAUUAAAACUAACCACUUAAACAACCAUCAUUAUGAUGGCUUCCUCCUGAACUAAGACCAUUUUCCCGUCACAUGCAAUAUGCUACAAUCAUAGGGUUAUGUGCAGAUUCUUAGAAAACAUUGAAGUUGUUAUGUUGCCAAUAGCAUAUGCCUACACUUGCAUAUCUUGUUAAUUAAUUAGGCUUUACUCUCUCAUAUGUUCACUGUGUACAUACCGGUGAUACCUACUGGCAGGUGAACCCUUCUACAGUACACCAUAGCUACCUAGAAUCAUGUUUAUCCAUCUAGAAGCGUUGUUUUGCUGCUCACUACCUUAGGGUCACCAGGUUUGAAUGUUCUUCUUACAAUAUACUUUUUAAGCUAGAAUCAGCUGGUUCAAAACUAUGAAUUCAUUUGAUAUUGAAUAAUACUGAAUAGUUGUCUAUACUCCUAAACAUGAAUGCGUACAACAAUUUUCUUAGGUUAAAUCAUGUGUUACUCCUAUAUAGAAAGUACCAAUAGUACCAACAGAGCGUAUGAUGCAUUAGAAUUAGAACAUGUUGUUUUAUUCGUAGUGUGCUCAUUGCCCUGGUUUAGGUCUUCCACCUCCACAGUCGUGCAUGGGAUCAGGUUCCUCACUGUUGUUGCUUUCGUUAUCCCUACCUCCGAAGACUCUUGAAGUGUCCUAGAGAAUCAUGACACCAUAGCUUCUCAUCUGAACAAAAAAUAUUCUCAUCGUGCUCUAAAACACUCCUAACAUUACCUCUAAAUUGUUAGUUUCCUAGAAGAUUUUAGUGGAAGUGUAGUUGGUUCAGCUUGGGAACAAAGAUUGAAAAGAGAAGGUAGGUAUCACUGGUGGGGACAUGUUAAAGUUGUUUAAAAAACUGCACCUGCGCGUCACCAAUGAUCCUCGAAGAUUUUAGUGGAAGUGUAGUUGGUUCAGCUUGGAAAAAAAGUUGAAAAGAGAAGGUAGGUAUCACUGGUGGGGACAUGUUAAGCUGUUUAAAAAAACUGCACCUGCGUAUCACUAAUGAUCCUCGAACGACAUUUAUAAUUAGUUGAUCUUGUUUCCCAAGAACCGCUAAGUCAUUUGCCACUGAUAAAUAUGGUCUUGAGGUGAGUGAUGGGCUAAAUGGCCAGUUCAAAUAUGCAGAUACAGAACACCCUAUACACUCUCUAAAAUACAUGACAAGUACGCUAUCAGCGUGCCUUCAACUUCCAGGAUCUUCAAAAUCGUCAAAACAUUCUCCAGUUGCAGAAACUGUUUAGGCUUCUUCUGAAUCAUAAAUUGUGAUGCCCUUUUUUCAACUUCGUUUGUCUUAUUGUUUGCAUAGUGUUAUCGCCUAGGGAUCUAUGCUUCAUGCUAUAAUAAUAUGUCAUACAUAAAGGUUUUUUGGUGCUCAGAAGCACACAUAUGUAAACUUUAUAGGUUCAUGUGUAGUCUUCAGCUCUUUGUUGUGCAUCUCUUAUUGAAAUGCCUACUUCGAGUUACUUGCCAGUUUAUUUUCCAGGAAUCAACCAAAAGCAAAAAUGUUUAUUUUUUUGUGUAUCUGACGUGAAGAACUUUUUCCCUUCUGCAGAUCCGGUGAAGAUGCCAUCUAGACAAAAGAUAAAAGAUCUUUUGCUUUUGUGCUCCUAGAAAUUAUGCAGUUGAUACUCUUUUUAUCAACUUCUACCUUCCAUCCUGGUUGAUGAAACUUUGUGUUUUUGCGUCUGUUAAAACAUUGCAGAGGACACGUUGGUCUACUUCUACCUUACCCUCUGUAGUUAUGCUUGAAUUGUGU
rnacentral:lncRNA from 1 species